AACUGAAGGUGCACUCUAUAUAGGCUAAAAUACCCAGGCCAGCUGCUCUCUCCUUACUCGCGGCCAAUCUGCCUGAAACUCGAGGUGAGCUCGAAGCCUCUCUUUCUUGCUUUGUCUCCCAAGUCUUGCUUUUGAACACCGCCGUUCCUGAUAUACCAACCCCCUUAAGUUACUGACGAAAUGUCUCAGAGAUUAAUGAAGGAUGUCGAGAUUGGUUGUGGUUAGGAGUUGGGGAUGGGGGUUUGAUUAGUUUCUUGAGAAGGUUUUCAGGGGUUGUGGGUGUCGAAGCAUAUCAAGGUCUGUGCUGGAGAUGCAUUUCAAGUUGUGGAUAAACUAUCUAAUGCUUGUUUUCAGGUCGAGGUGGGUUGUGACGUGGGCAGCUGCAAGAUUCUGAUACUGAAUUUGAUGUGAUUAUGGUUUAUUUGGGUUCAAGUGAUGUUAGGGAUGGUCUAUAUUCUCCCGAGUGAAGUUUGUUGGUAAAUCAUGUCCUUUUGUCAGCCAGAUCGAUUCUCUCUGAUACCGGGGGAUCCUAGCUACACUGUCAUUCUUCCAAGUUCAUCAUUUUACAAGCCAUUGAUCCAUGAGUUUCGAGGAAGACGUAAGAGCAUGGAAGGAACCGUUCAAUGUCAUGUUAUGAAUGUCAGGAAAGGAGGGGGGAUGAACAGCCGAGAUAUUGUAUUGUGGAUAUUGUAUUUAUAGUGAAUCAUGCCCAGAAAGUGUGCUUGGGAAGAUAAGCUGGAUGUGGUCUCCUGAGAAGGAUCAGACUUUAGAAUAAUCACUUAACAAGAAGGGAUAUGGUGGCUAGAAGGAAGGAGAAAGGAGGGGGCAACAAUUUGACUGGGAAAUAAAUGACUUUAGCUCCAUGAAAGAGGGUUAUAGAUCCUUACGUACAUAAGCUCUUUCAUUCCCCCAAAAAAAAAAAAAAGUUGAAAAUCUGAUUUGUCUGCAAAAUGGGCUAGAGGCUGAUUCAGUUAUGGGUUGGAGUAGCUUCAAAGUGUAGAGGAAUGCAAACCAAUUAACAGCCUGCAGCUGAGAGGAGGUCGAGAAGUCUAAGGCCACUGGUGUUGGUGAUUUGCAGAAGUAGCAAGUGCCAAUAACCAAGACUUCUGUGGCUUCGGACUCAGCCUACUGCCAAGAAGAAGAAACUGAAAAAGUUGUAAGGAUAUGCCUAAACAAGUUAUGAACAAACCUCUAAUUGCAUAACUAGAAUAACAUUGAAUUGCAGAUAUAAUUUUUGCAUAAUAUGUAAGACUAAACCUAAGUCGUUUCAUAUAUAACACUGGUCCUUGCACUCUCUUCUCACCAGCAAUUAAAUAUUCAGUCCCCUAGAAAAUAGAGUUAGAGAGCAGUGCAGAAGACUA